rnacentral:rRNA from 1 species
GAUGAACGCUGGCGGCGUGCCUAAUACAUGCAAGUCGAGCGAACAGAUGAGGAGCUUGCUCCUCUGACGUUAGCGGCGGACGGGUGAGUAACACGUGGAUAACCUACCUAUAAGACUGGGAUAACUUCGGGAAACCGGAGCUAAUACCGGAUAAUAUAUUGAACCGCAUGGUUCAAUAGUGAAAGACGGUUUUGCUGUCACUUAUAGAUGGAUCCGCGCCGCAUUAGCUAGUUGGUAAGGUAACGGCUUACCAAGGCAACGAUGCGUAGCCGACCUGAGAGGGGGCUGGGCCCCCCUGGAGCUGGACCCCGUUCCAGGUCCCUAGGGGAGGCAGCGGUGGGGAAUCUUCCGCAAGGGGGGAAGCCUGACGGAGCAACGCCGCGUGAGUGAUGAAGGUCUUCGGAUCGUAAAACUCUGUUAUUAGGGAAGAACAAAUGUGUAAGUAACUAUGCACGUCUUGACGGUACCUAAUCAGAAAGCCACGGCUAACUACGUG